rnacentral:tRNA from 1 species
UGGGCUGUAGCCAAGUGGUAAGGCAGUAGACUUUGACUCUACCAUGCGCUAGUUCGAAUCUAGCCAGCCCAGCCA